CCUACGGGAGGCAGCAGUAGGGGAUAUUCCACAAUGGGGGAAACCCUGAUGCAGCAACGCCGCGUGGGUGAAGAAGCUUUUCGGCUCGUAAAACCCUGUCGGCAGAGAAGAAGGAGGGCGGUACCUGACUAAGACGCUCCGGCGAACUACGUGCCAGCAGCCGCGGUAAUACGUAGGGGGCAAGCGUUAUCCGGAUUUACUGGGUGUAAAGGGAGCGCAGACGGCAGAUGAAGCGAGGAGUGAAAGCCCGUGGCCUAACCCCGGGAGUGCGCUUGGAACUGGGCGGCUGGAGUGCAGGAGGGGCAGGUGGAACUCCUGGUGUAGCGGUGAAAUGCGUAGAUAUCAGGAGGAACACCGGUGGCGAAGGCGGCCCGCUGGUCUGUGACUGACGUUGAGGUCCGAAAGCGUGGGUAGCAAACAGGAUUAGAUACCCCAGUAGUC
rnacentral:rRNA from 1 species